rnacentral:rRNA from 1 species
AACGAACGCUGGCGGCAUGCCUAACACAUGCAAGUCGAACGAGACCUUCGGGUCUAUUGGCGCACGGGUGCGUAACGCGUGGGAACCUGCCCUUAGGUUCGGAAUAACUCCCCGAAAGGGGUGCUAAUACCGGAUAAUGUCUUCGGACCAAAGAUGUAUCGCCUUUGGAUGGGCGCGCGUUGGAUUAGCUAGUUGGUAGGGUAAAAGCCUACCAAGGCGACGAUCCAUGGCUGGUCUGUGAGGAUGAUAAGCCACACUGGGGCUGAGACACGGCCCAGACUCCUACGGAGGGGAGCAGUGGGGAAUAUUAGACGAUGGGGGAAAGCCUAAUCCAGCAGUGCCGCGUAAGUGGUGAAGGCCUUAGGGUUGUAAAGCUCUUUUACACGGGAUGAUAGUGACGGUACCGGGAGAAUAAGCUCCGGCUAACUCCGUG